GGCCUCCCAAUGCUUACCACAGGCUGUGUUCUUUACACUGACUGUAUAGAAAGAGGAGGUACAGUAAAUGCACCCCAUAUAAAAUAAAUAAAAUAAUAAAAAUAAAUAAAUAAAAUCCAUGUCUUGGGGCCGAAGCG